AUUGAACGCUGGCGGCAUGCCUUACACAUGCAAGUCGAACGGUAACGCGGGGCAACCUGGCGACGAGUGGCGAACGGGUGAGUAAUGCAUCGGAACGUGCCCAGUAGUGGGGGAUAGCCCGGCGAAAGCCGGAUUAAUACCGCAUACGACCUAAGGGUGAAAGGGGGGGAUCGCAAGACCUCUCGCUAUUGGAGCGGCCGAUGUCAGAUUAGGUAGUUGGUGGGGUAAAGGCCUACCAAGCCGACGAUCUGUAGCUGGUCUGAGAGGACGACCAGCCACACUGGGCCUGAGACACGGCCCAGACUCCUACGGGAGGCAGCAGUGGGGAAUUUUGGACAAUGGACGCAAGUCUGAUCCAGCCAUGCCGCGUGCGGGAAGAAGGCCUUCGGGUUGUAAACCGCUUUUGUCAGGGAAGAAAUCUUCUGGGUUAAUACCUCGGGAGGAUGACGGUACCUGAAGAAUAAGCACCGGCUAACUACGUGCCAGCAGCCGCCGUAA
rnacentral:rRNA from 1 species